GCAGAAACCCCAUAUGAAAGCCAUAUCUGACUCUCUCAAUUUUAGAGGGCAGUAAAAAAAUUACGUGCCUACAAUACAAUAGUUUCUUGCCGCACAGCAAUACUGGUUACCAAACAAACCAUAAAUUGGAUUCAGAAACCCUACAUCAAUCCAAUUGCUCCCCUGAGAUAAUCUCACUACUCUGAGAUGAUCCCCCGACUCUUAGCCCGAUGAUAAGCGACGGCCGAUCACACAGCUUAGGCAGGGAUCCAAACCAAUCCUCAGUUAGUUGUCGGUUAACUGCCAAGCAGGCAAUACGCGCAAGUGUCCCAGUAGUGAGUCAAAGUAGAGUGUCGCAGUACAAAUCGCCUGACCGACGGAAAACCAAAAAAUUGGUAAAUUAGGAAAGUGGAGUGAGACAGUAGAUGCGGUGCAGUGUAGUGGGUGUUUUGUAAAGCCCUAGGGCCAGAAACCCUACAGAAACGAGUUUCGGUAAUGUUGUGCCUGCACCGGGAAUCCGCGAUAAUGGAGUAGUGUGGAUGUGCUAAGAGAUCGGCCUUUCGUUCACUGCAUAAAUUAUGUGGUGUGUCCUGUGAGCUGCAUUCCAGAGCGAUGGUGGACUGGAGUGGCUGGCACGGAUGGCUGGCAUGAGCCGGCAAGCAUUCGCGUUCUGUCCGGGCAGACAUCAAGGUUUGCGGUCGCCGAGGGAUACACGGUUACACUGACACACACACAAAUUAAACUUUAGGUUAAGGA